AUUUUGACAAGUUUAUUUUUAAUAUUAAGUAUUAAUUAAGUAAAGGAAUAUUUUUUAAUAUUAUUUUAAACUAUUCUAAUUUCAAUAACAAAAGCUAUACAACACUGGAAAUAGCACCCGGAUCAAAAUUUAUCUACAGUAGCACUUGAGGAUUUAUAUGGAUUAUUUGCAAAAUAACAAACAUUAAAUAAUAAUAAUGAGGGAACACUGUGUGAUUUCGAGGUUAACGUGAUAUUUCAUGGCUUGACAGUUUUAAUCAGUGGAUUUUAUUGUGCCUCAAGUAAUUCCACGAGAAACCUGACAUUUCCGUGUUAAAAGCAAACCGAUAAAAUAUUAAGAGUUUAUCUACUUGUGCUGGGAUUGUCGUGAUACAAAGAUGUUGACUAUCACAAUAAAACGUGACUUGCUGUUUAAAACAUUGGACAAUGAAAAAGCAAAUGAUAGCAAGAAUAGUUUUGACCAAGGUAUACAUGCGUCCGAAGAAAUUAUCUACAAGAUUGACACACCUGCCAACAGAUAUUGUCUGUUGUGCUUGGAGCCUAAGUACUGGACUACUUAUAUCUUUGAAUAAAACAUACAAAAGAACUGCAAUUGGUAAUAAAAAGCAAAACA